rnacentral:rRNA from 1 species
GGGAUCUUAGACAAUGGGCGCAAGCCUGAUCUAGCCAUGCCGCGCGAGCGAUGAAGGCCUUAGGGUUGUAAAGCUCUUUCACCGGGGAAGAUAAUGACGGUCCCCGGAGAAGAAGCCCCGGCUAACUCCGUGCCCGCAGCCGCGGUAAUACGGAGGGGGCUAGCGUUGUUCGGAAUGCCUGGGCGUAAAGCGCGCGUAGGCGGGCUGUUAAGUCGGGGGUGAAAUCCCGGGGCUCAACCCCGGAACUGCCUUCGAUACUGGCAGCCUGGAGUCCGAGAGAGGUGAGUGGAAUUCCGAGUGUAGAGGUGAAAUUCGUAGAUAUUCGGAGGAACACCAGUGGCGAAGGCGGCUCACUGGCUCGGUACUGACGCUGAGGUGCGAAAGCGUGGGGAGCAAAC